rnacentral:lncRNA from 1 species
UAAGGAUCAGAGAAAACUGUAAGCCAUCAAUGGGGGAGGCCAGCCUUCAGGCACAUUCAUGAUAUGGAGCCCUGGAAAAGCUCUGGAUUGAAGGCACCAGGCAUUUUUUACUGAAGUGUAAUAUACCAAUGGGAAAACACACAAACUGUAAUUAUACAUCUUGUUGUGUAUAAUUAUGUGCAAAAUGAGCCAUCCAUAUAACCAGUACCUGGAUCAAGCUGUAGAAUAUUACAAGCAACCCAGAAAUCCCCUUGUAUCUUCUCCCAGGCACUAUCUUCCAAAAGUAUCAGUCCAUUAUAAUGUUUGCUGGAUUUAUCAACACGUGAGAUUUCAGAAUCAACCCUCCUAAUCAGCCACCCAAUGCCUGGAGCCUGCUGUAACUACUUUAAUGAUGUUUAGUAAAUACUGUCAAAGAGAG